rnacentral:rRNA from 1 species
UACGUAGCAGCAAGCGUUGUUCGGAAUUACUGGGCGUAAAGAGUGUGUAGGCGGUGCUCUAAGUUCGGUGUGAAAUCUCCCGGCUCAACUGGGAGGGUGCGCCGGAAACUGGAGUGCUGGAGCGCGGGAGAGGAAAAGCGGAAUUCCUGGUGUAGCGGUGAAAAUGCGUAGAUAUCAGGAGGAAACACCGGCGGUGUAGACGGCUUUCUGGACCGUAGCUGACGCU